CUUAGCUGAUAAUUUGGACAACCCAUUAGUGAUCACUGGGUUUGAGCAAUUGCUGUUAAGUGUCUUGUCGAAUGACAAUCACACUCACAAUGGUAGCAGUGGCGGGCCUUAUACCCAUUAGUUGGUGUUGUUUUUGAAAUACAGAAAAAAACACUGUGCGUCUAUCUUUUACGAUGGAGACCAAGCGAAAUGGGGGCGUUGGCCGUCACAUAAAAAGAAAAAAAAAUGUAUCACGGUUUUGGGCAGUUGCGCGUUCUGCUCUUUUUAUUUCUGUGGUGUAUGCUGGUUAAGGACUGAAGAUGUAAUUUUAACUUAUAAUUAGAGCACGACCGAUUAUCGGUUAGCCGAUAUAUCGGCCGCAUUUUUAGUGAUUUACCGAUCGGCAAGAGCAAAAAAUGACCGAUAUUUUUGGCACUAAGUAACCAGACGGCCAAUGACGUUUUUAUGUAAGAAUUAAUGCAGAGCGAUAGCUUGUUCAUAAACCUAAACUCACUCGUAUACCUAAUUCAACUCGUUCGUAAAAAUCUAACGUAUUAAACUAGGUCAAAGUGUCUGAUCACGCGUCCACCGCACGUCAUGUUUAUCAGGCGCGUGUACUGUGGAGGUUACUUUAGGUCACUUACGCGUCUUUACGCGUCAGCGUGAUACACAAAUAAACUGCAUUAGCUGAUAAAUAUAAUGUUUGUUUAAUGGAAUUUAUUCGAAAAAAUUACAAAUUUACCAAUCACAAGUUCACCAAUAACUAAUUAAUAAUAAUUAAGCCUGUUAGUUGAUUUUUAUCAGCUAUAUCAGAUUUUUUUGUUUUAAUCAGUCAAGAUUUUUAGGUGCAUUAAAAUAUCGGUUAUCGGCAACUGAAAUUUACAAAAUAUCGUGUACUUGAUGAUACAACGCGUCAAUAUGAAAACCAACUUGCCUCAGUUAAAGCAGACAUAGAUGCGAUGCAAAGAACUUCGGUCAGGAAUGAAGAAGUUUAUAAUAAAUCGUUAAACGAGUUGGAAACUGAUUUAAAUCGUGGAAAAAAUUUAUAUCAGUCGGUCUCUAAUCUUGAAUACAGGUAUUAGUUUUGUUUAAUACUGAUCAUUUCAUAUGUUUCGCUAUAGCGUCAAAUAUCGGUAAAAGCUAAAAAUAUCGGUAUCGGUGAAAAAAAUGAUAUUGCUCGGUCUCUAGAUUUGUUACGCAGCCGGCACAGUAAAUAAGUUUCAGACUACUAAAAUAUUGAGCGGUAUUACACUUGCAAGUUAAACUAUGUUACAUUGCGAUAAGCGUUCCUGUCACAUAGAAGGUCUAACUACUGCCUUAAGAUACUUCCCAAUCAAUGGCGGAUACUUGGUCAAUAUUUUGGGGUGCAGACAACUAGAGGCAUGGACGUCGAUUUCCGGGGUGGCAGGGGUGGCAUGCCACCCCAGUUUUAAUGCCCAGCGUGUUAGAAAACCUAACGCUGUAUUGGCGCCGUCGCAUUUACACGAUUAAUUUAGUUCGAAGUAAACGUUCGUUACGGUCAAAAACGUCUCACCGUAUGGUUUUGCAACAUUAAAAAUGGCAUUAUGACGAAAUACAGCUUAUUGUUUCGUUGGGAAUGGACUUUAAACUAUAACUGGCAUGCACCAUACGCAUGCUUUUAUAAAGUAUGUUGAACACGCAACAAUGGGGC